ACAAGGAUGUGAAUACCAGAAACUGGGAUUACUGGAAGAAUCUUAGAGGCUAGUUUUCACAGAGUGGAGUGUUAAGAGAUGACACCAAAAGAAGAUGGCCUUAAGGACCAAGGAACUUAGGUUUAUUGAGAGUUAAGAACUUUAAGAUGUUAGAACAUCUUACUGCUCCACUGGAAAGAGUAGGCCACAGGAAGUCAGGAAAUAGCCCUGAAAUGGCAUCUUUCCAGCAAAAACAAUUCCACAAGGCCUUCCCUUAACUCCCCCACCCAGAGAUGCUCCUCCUCUCCUUGAAAGGAUCAAUACUGGUUAACUACAGAAUUGUCACAGUGGCCCCUUGGCGGUAUGGAGUGCAGCUAUGAAUGCUUUGGGAUCACUGUCCACCCAGUCCCACCCUGAAAGUUACCCUAGAAUACACUGAUCCACUGAUUAUAUGGAACUGUCUGUCUCAUUUUUUUGGUCUCAGGAGGUCUUCUCAGUUCAGUGGGCACUUUUCAUUCCCUUUGUCCUUGGACAGCAAGGAGAUCCAACCAGUCCAUACUAAA